rnacentral:rRNA from 1 species
UACAGAGGUCUCAAGCGUUGUUCGGAUUCAUUGGGCGUAAAGGGUGCGUAGGCGGCGCGGUAAGUCGGGUGUGAAAUCUCGGGGCUCAACCCCGAAACUGCAUUUGAUACUGCCUUGCUCGAGUACUGGAGAGGAGAUUGGAAUUACGGUGUAGCAGUGAAAUGCGUAGAUAUCGUAAGGAAGACCAGUGGCGAAGGCGAAGUCUCUGGACAGUUACUGACACUGAGGCAGCGAAGGCCAGGGAGCAAACGGG